rnacentral:rRNA from 1 species
CCAUAUCAAUAAGCGGAGGAAAAGAAACCAACAGGGAUUGCCCCAGUAACGGCGAGUGAAGCGGCAACAGCUCAGAUUUGGAAUCUGGCCCCCAGGGCCCGAGUUGUAAUCUGGAGAGGAUGCUUCUGGCGCGGCGCCUUCCGAGUUCCCUGGAACGGGACGCCGGAGAGGGUGAGAGCCCCGUACGGUUGGACGCCUAGCCUUUGUGAAGCUCCUUCGACGAGUCGAGUAGUUUGGGAAUGCUGCUCAAAAUGGGAGGUAAAUUUCUUCUAAAGCUAAAUACCGGCCAGAGACCGAUAGCGCACAAGUAGAGUGAUCGAAAGAUGAAAAGCACUUUGAAAAGAGGGUCAAACAGUACGUGAAAUUGUUGAAAGGGAAGCGCCCGUGGCCAGACUUGUGCCCCGCGGACCACCCGGCGCCCUCAGCGCCGGUGCACUCCGCGGGGCGCAGGCCAGCAUCGGUUUUCCUAGGGGGAUAAAGGCGGCGGGAACGUGGCUCCUUCGGGAGUGUUAUAGCCCGUCGUGCCAUGCCCCUGGGGGGACCGAGGACCGCGCUUCGGCAAGGAUGCUGGCGUAAUGGCCACCGGCGACCCGUCUUGAAACACGGACCAAGGAGUCAAGCAUUGGGGCGAGUGUCUGGGUGCCAAACCCGCACGCGAAAUGAAAGUGAACGCAGGUGAGAGCUUCGGCGCAUCAUCGACCGAUCCUGAUGUUCUCGGAUGGAUUUGAGUAAGAGCCUUACCGCUUGGACCCGAAAGAUGGUGAACUAUGCCUGUAUAGGGUGAAGCCAGAGGAAACUCUGGUGGAGGCUCGCAGCGGUUCUGACGUGCAAAUCGAUCGUCAAAUAUGGGCAUGGGGGCGAAAGACUAAUCGAACCAUCUAGUAGCUGG